AACCUCCGCAAUGUGAGAAAUCGCGACGGGGGGAUCCCAAGUGCCAUUCUUAACGGGAUGGCUUUUCAUUAGUGUAAAGAGCUGUUGGAAUAAGAGCUGGGCAAGACCGGUGCCAGCCGCCGCGGUAACACCGGCAGCUCUAGUGGUAGCAAUUUUUAUUGGGCCUAAAGCGUCCGUAGCCGGUUUAAUAAGUCUCUGGUGAAAUCCUGCAGCUUAACUGUGGGAAUUGCUGGAGAUACUAUUAGACUUGAGAUCGGGAGAGGUUAGAGGUACUCCCAGGGUAGAGGUGAAAUUCUGUAAUCCUGGGAGGACCGCCUGUUGCGAAGGCGUCUAACUGGAACGAUUCUGACGGUGAGGGACGAAAGUUAGGGGCGCGAACCGGAUUAGAUACCCGGGUAGUCCUAACUGUAAACGAUGCGGACUUGGUGUUGGGGUGGCUUUGAGCUGCUCCAGUGCCGAAGGGAAGCUGUAAGUCCGCCGCCUGGGAAGUACGGUCGCAAGACUGAAACUUAAAGGAAGU
rnacentral:rRNA from 1 species